rnacentral:rRNA from 1 species
AUUGAACGCUGGCGGCAGGCCUAACACCUGCAAGUCGAACGAGUGGUGGACGGGUGAGUAAUUUCUGGGAACCUGCCUGAUGGAGGGGGAUAACUCCUGGAAACUGUAGCUAAUACCGCAUACCAUCAGAUGUGCCCAGCUGGUAUUAGCUAGUGGGUGGGGUAACGGCUCACCAAGGCGACGAUCCCUAUCUGGUCUGAGAGGAUGACCAGCCACACUGGAACUGAGACACGGUCCAGACUCCUACGGGAGGCAGCAGUGGGGAAUAUGGCACAAUGGGCGCAAGCCUGAUGCAGCCAUGCCGCGUGUAUGAAGAAGGCCUUCGGGUUGUAAAGUACUUUCAGCGGGGAGGCGUUACCCGCAGAAGAAGCACCGGCUAACUCCGUGCCAGCCGCCGCGGUAAUAC